rnacentral:rRNA from 1 species
GACGUAGGUGGCGAACGUUAUCCGGAAUUAUUGGGCGUAAAGGAUGCGUAGAUGGUGUAGUAAGUUAUCGGUGGCAAAUCGAGGCUCAACCUCGUGGAAGUCGGUAAUACUGCUAUGCUAGAGGAUAGGAGAGGUUAACGGAACUCCCUGUGGGGCGGUGAAAUGCGUAGAUAUAGGGAAGAACACCAAUCAGGCGAAGGCAGUUAACUAUUCUAUUUCUGACAUUGAGGCAUGAAAGCGUGGGGAGCAAAGCGG